AUAAUUCCGUAGGUGAACCUGCGGAGGGAUCAUUACAGAGUUCGUGCCCUCACGGGUAGAUCUCCCACCCUUGCGUAUUUAUACCUUUGUUGCUUUGGCAGGCCGCCUGGGCUCGCGCCUGGCCACCGGCUCCGGCUGGUGCGUGCCUGCCAGAGGAUCUCCAAACUCCAGUUAUCAGUGUUGUCUGAGUACGAUACAAUCGUUAAAACUUUCAACAACGGAUCUCUUGGUUCUGGCAUCGAUGAAGAACGCAGCGAAAUGCGAUAAGUAAUGUGAAUUGCAGAAUUCAGUGAAUCAUCGAAUCUUUGAACGCACAUUGCGCCCUUUGGUAUUCCGAGGGGCAUGCCUGUUCGAGCGUCAUUUCAACCCUCAAGCUCUGCUUGGUAUUGGGCUCGGCCGCGAUGGCCGGCCUUAAAAUCAGUGGCGGUGCCGUCUUGGCUCCAAGCGUAGUACAUCUCUCGCUCUGGAGGCCGGGUGGCGUCUUGCCAGAUAACCCCCAUUAUCUUCUAUGGUUGGC
rnacentral:rRNA from 1 species